rnacentral:rRNA from 1 species
AUUGAACGCUGGCGGCAGGCCUUACACAUGCAAGUCGAACGAGUGGCGGACGGGUGAGUAAUGUCUGGGAAACUGCCCGAUGGAGGGGGAUAACUACUGGAAACGGUAGCUAAUACCGCAUACUAUCGGAUGUGCCCAUAUGGGAUUAGCUAGUUGGUGGGGUAAAGGCUCACCUAGGCGACGAUCCCUAGCUGGUCUGAGAGGAUGACCAGCCACACUGGGACUGAGACACGGUCCAGACUCCUACGGGAGGCAGCAGUGGGGAAUAUUGCACAAUGGGGGCAAGCCUGAUGCAGCCAUGCCGCGUGUAUGAAGAAGGCCUUCGGGUUGUAAAGUACUUUCGGCAGAGAAGCGUUACCCGCAGAAGAAGCACCGGCUAACUACGUGCCAGCAGCCGCGGUAAUAC